UUUUUAACCCAGAGGUUGCUUUAUUCGUUUUCCCACUUCUGAAUCAUUCUGGAACCAUCUUUUUCAAAACACAAGUAAUGUGAGGAUUUCACCAUGGACACGUUUGUCACAGAGACGUUGACUGCAUGGCAGCUUGAGAACUUGAUUGACACAUUUAAAGACCAGGAAGUUGAUGAGGAAAGUUUCUGCCUGUUGGAUGCCAUUGCCAUUGCCUCGCUAAUACCGAAAAUUGGACAC